GAUCCUAAAAUGGUUGGGGUGGAAGGGACCUUAAAGAUGAUAACACCAUGGGAUCCUACAAAGGUUGGGGUGGAGAGGACCUUUAGGACCGUGGCUGCGUGGGAUCCCACAAGGGUUGGGUUUUAGGGAUCUCAAAGACCACAGAACUGUGGGAUCCUACAGCGUUUGGGAUGGAGAGGACCUGUAGGAUCGUGGAACCACGGGAUCCUACAAUGGUUGGGGUGGAAGGGACCUUAAAGAUCAUAACACCACGGGAUCCUACAAGGGUUGGGGUGGAGAGGACCUUUAGGAUUAUGGAACCAUGAGACCCCACAAGGGUUGGGGUGGAAGGGAUCUCAAAGACCAUAACACCACGGGAUCCUACAAGGGUUGGGGUGGAGAGGACCUUUAGGAUCAUGGCACUGUGGGAUCCCACAAUGUUUGGAUUUAAAGACCAUACAACCAUGAGAUCCUACAGUGGUUGGGUUGGGAGGAAUCUUUAGGAUCAUGGAACCAUGGGAUCCUACAAUGGUUGGGGUGGAGAGGAUAUUUAGGAUCAUAACACCACGGGGUCCUAAAAUGAUUGGGGUGGAAGGGACCUUGAAGACCACAACACCACAGGAUCCUAAAAGGGAUGGGAUGGGAGGACCUUUAGGAUCAUGGAACCAUGGGAUCCUGAAAGGGUUGGGGUGGAGAGGAUAUUUAGGAUCAUGGAACCACGGGAUCCUACAAUGGUUGGGGUGGAAGGGACCUUGAAGACCGCAACACCACAGGAUCCUAAAAGGGUUGGGGUGGAGAGGACAUUUAGGAUCAUGGCACUGUGGGAUCCCACAAGGGUUGGGUUUUAAAGACCAUACAACCAUGAGAUCCUACAGCGCUGUGCAAAGCUGUGAUGUGGAUUUGGGGUGAAAAAGCCCAAAUUUUGGGGGAGAUUUGGCAUUUUUUGCGUCUUU
ensembl:lncRNA